CCAUCAACACAACUCCAAGCAAACCGCGGGCGAGGUCACGACCAUCAUGACGUGCAACAAGUCGACUUAUACGACGCCGAUCAAGCGGAUGAAGCCGCUCUUGAGGGUCUUGCCGCUCACAUGGCACGGCUGAUGCGCCUGUUGGAGGAGGUGGCAGGGCAAGGGCCUCACAUGUUGGACAUGGCGCGAGACAGCUGUUACUACGAGGAAGAAACGUGCUACGUGCCGUAUGAGGAGUACGAAACACACCCUGACGCCGAGCGAGGGGGCGAGCAGGUGACCGUCCCUUCCACGCAACCGUAUGCGCCGGACACCCCUGAGCUCACACCAUAUUCCACACCGGCAACUGCGCUUGCGCACCCACCUAGCGCCACCUUCCCGACGCACGUUUACGUCAUGCAGCAGACCGUAUCCCCGCCGCCAGCAGUAAUACGGGAUGACACGCCCCAGCGGACAUAUCACUUGGAGCGGAUUCCCGCGCAGCAGCCCGCGCAACCUGCAGAGGAGAGCCAUGAUGGUGCAGGCGAGGACAUGAAGGGCGUGGACACGUACCCCAUGCCGUUGCACACAACACUCGGAUGGGACGCCGCAUGCAAUCAGGACCCGGCGCAGCCCACCGAGUGCGCACCUACUGCAAACCCCGGCAGUUCCGUGCCUGGUGUCCAAUCGUCACCCCAGCACUGGCCAACCGUGGACAGGGAUACGCCCGUGCUCCAGUCGCCCGACACCCGCGAGAGGCUUACUUGGGACUCACCUGCUGUGCAGCAGAUGCCGCCAGCAGCGCCGCAUGUGCCUGAGCACGCACCCACACCACCGCUUCAACAGACAGCGCUCCUGUCAGCUCCACCGGCGGCCUGGCUUGCUUGUAUGCCGCCGCGUGCUUGCCUUGAUGCCUUGACGGGGCAAC
rnacentral:lncRNA from 1 species